GAAAAUGUUAAGUAGAGUGAAAAAUGUAUCACUGAUUAACCAGUGGAAAUUUAUUACAGCAGUUAAGAGCCCUGGGUCUGGAGCAAAACUGCUGAGGUUUGAGGCCCCGUUUUGCUGCUCACUAGCUACAUGAUCUUGGGCAAGUUAUUUAAGCUCUCUGAGCUUCAGUUUCUUCCUCUGCAGAAUGGGGAUGAAAGUGGACUACUACCUCAUGGCAUGUUUUGAGGAUGAAAUGAGCUAAUAAACACAGUCUUCAGCCCUACAUUAGGAUGGCCUAAGGAAAACAAGAAGACUGAAUGAUAUUCCCUGCUGACUUAUAUAAGUUAUUAGUCUUCUAGAAGGAUCACAAGGAACCAGCAUCAAAGAAAUGGAAUCCAGCUAAUUCCCCCAAGAAACUGAAGUUUUCGGGACAUGACUUGUGAAAGGCAAACAUAAGCUGACAUCUUUUCACACUGAACAGCAAGAGCCAAAGUGUAUCCGAAAAGCCAUUGUCAAAACAAGGAGUGAGAACAGCUGGGGUCAAGACCUAAUGAAGGGCAUCACUCAGCCUCUUUGAGCCUCGGAUUCCUCAUUUGUAAAGUGGGCAUAAUAAUACCUCACAGGGUAGUUAUGAGGGCAAAUGAGAUAAUGGACACGAAGGCACCUGUACACUCCACGGUGCUAUCAGAAUAUUGACUAUUAGUGCUUUCAUCACGCGGCUCCAUCCAAACCCCUGCUUUCCCUCACUCCAAAAUUAUUCCUUUGCAGGUGGUGCAAAGGAUCAGCACGGGAGUUUUGACCUGCUCCGUUUCCGACCUGGGUCGGUUCACCCCUCCUUAG
rnacentral:lncRNA from 10 species